rnacentral:tRNA from 1 species
GGAAAGGUGGGUGAGCGGCUGAAACCAGCACACUGCUAACGUGCCAGAGGGUAAAACCUCUCGAGGGUUCGAAUCCCUCCCUUUCCG